GACGAACGCUGGCGGCGUGCUUAACACAUGCAAGUCGAACGGAAAGGCCCUGCUCUUGUGGGGUGCUCGAGUGGCGAACGGGUGAGUAACACGUGAGUAACCUGCCCUUGACUUUGGGAUAACUCCAGGAAACUCGGGCGAAAAUCGGAUAGGAGCUCCUGCUGCAUGGUGGGGGUUGGAAAGUUUCGGCGGUUGGGGAUCGACUCGCGGCUUAUCAGCUUGUUGGUGGGGUAGUGGCUUACCAAGGCUUCGACGGGUAGCCGGCCUGGGAGGGUGACCGGCCACAUUGGGACUGAGGGAGGGCCCAGACUGCUACGGGAGGCAGCAGUGGGAAAUAUUGCGCAGUAGGCGGGAGCCUGAUACAACGGCGCCGCGUUCGGGAUGCCGGCCUUCGGGUUAUAAACCGCUUUCGCCUGUGAAGAAGAGUGAGUGACGGUAAUGAGUAAAGAAGCAACGGCUAACUACGUG
rnacentral:rRNA from 1 species